rnacentral:rRNA from 1 species
CGCGUGCACUGGCUCGGCUGGGUCUUUCCUUCUGGAGAACCGCAUGCCCUUCACUGGGUGUACCGGGGAACCAGGACUUUUACUCUGAACAAAUUAGAUCGCUUAAAGAAGGCCUAUGCUCGAAUACAUUAGCAUGGAAUAAUAGAAUAGGACGUGUGGUUCUAUUUUGUUGGUUUCUAGGACCGCCGUAAUGAUUAAUAGGGACAGUCGGGGGCAUCAGUAUUCAAUUGUCAGAGGUGAAAUUCUUGGAUUUAUUGAAGACUAACUACUGCGAAAGCAUUUGCCAAGGAUGUUUUCAUUAAUCAGGAACGAAAGUUAGGGGAUCGAAGACGAUCAGAUACCGUCGUAGUCUUAACCAUAAACUAUGCCGAUUAGGGAUCGGACGGCGUUAUUUUUUGACCCGUUCGGCACCUUACGAUAAAUCAAAAUGUUUAGGCUCCUAGGGGAGUAUGGUCGCAAGGCUGAAACUUAAAGAAAUUGACGGAAGGGCACCACCAGGGGUGGAGCCUGCGGCUUAAUUUGACUCAACACGGGGAAACUCACCAGGUCCAGACACGAUGAGGAUUGACAGAUUGAGAGCUCUUUCUUGAUUUCGUAGGUGGUAGUGCAUGGCCGUUCUUAGUUGGUGGAGUGAUUUGUCUGCUUAAUUGCGAUAACGAACGAGACCUUAACCUGCUAAAUAGCCCGUAUUGCUUUGGCAGUACGCCGGCUUCUUAGAGGGACUAUCGG